UAUCUACCCCUGACGUGAGGUUAUAGCC
rnacentral:sRNA from 1 species